AGCAAUACGGGGACAGCGGCGAAAGGGAGAGUGACACGUGGGUACCUACCCUCGGAUUCGGGAUAGCUACGGGAAACUGUAGGUAAUACCGAAUAACGUCUCCGGACCAAAGGUGUGAUUCCGUCCGGGGAGGGGCCCACGUCCUAUUAGCUAGUUGGUGAGGUAACGGCCCACCAAGGCAAAGAUGGGUAUGGGGUGUGAGAGCAUGCCCCCACUCACUGGGACUGAGACACUGCCCAGACACCUACGGGUGGCUGCAGUCGAGGAUCUUCGGCAAUGGGGGAAACCCUGACCGAGCGACGCCGCGUGCGGGAUGAAGGCCUUCGGGUUGUAAACCGCUGUCAGAGGGGAGGAAAUGCCGGGAAGUAAUAAAUAAUCGACCCGGUUUGACCUAUCCUCAGAGGAAGGACGGGCUAAGUUCGUGCCAGCAGCCGCGGUAAUACGAACCGUCCAAACGUUAUUCGGAAUCACUGGGCUUAAAGGGUGCGUAGGCGGCCCGAAAAGUUGGGUGUGAAAGCCCUCGGCUCAACCGAGGAAUUGCGCCCAAAACUGCCGGGCUCGAGGGAGACAGAGGUGAGCGGAACUUAGGGUGGAGCGGUGAAAUGCGUUGAUAUCCUAAGGAACACCAGUAGCGUAAGCGGCUCACUGGGUCUCUUCUGACGCUGAGGCACGAAAGCUAGGGGAGCGAAGAGGAUUAGAUACCCUCGUAGUCCUAGCCUUAAACGAUGAGC
rnacentral:rRNA from 1 species